GGGUUGUGAGGUUAAGCGACUAAGCGUACACGGUGGAUGCCCUGGCAGUCAGAGGCGAUGAAGGACGUGCUAAUCUGCGAUAAGCGUCGGUAAGGUGAUAUGAACCGUUAUAACCGGCGAUUUCCGAAUGGGGAAACCCAGUGUGWUUCGWCACACUAUCAUUAACUGAAUCCAUAGGUUAAUGAGGCGAACCGGGGGAACUGAAACAUCUAAGUACCCCGAGGAAAAGAAAUCAACCGAGAUUCCCCCAGUAGCGGCGAGCGAACGGGGAGCAGCCCAGAGCCUGAAUCAGUGUGUGUGUUAGUGGAAGCGUCUGGAAAGGCGCGCGAUACAGGGUGACAGCCCCGUACACAAAAAURCACAURCUGUGAGCUCGAUGAGUAGGGCGGGACACGUGGUAUCCUGUCUGAAUAUGGGGGGACCAUCCUCCAAGGCUAAAUACUCCUGACUGACCGAUAGUGAACCAGUACCGUGAGGGAAAGGCGAAAAGAACCCCGGCGAGGGGAGUGAAAAAGAACCUGAAACCGUGUACGUACAAGCAGUGGGAGCACGCUUAGGCGUGUGACUGCGUACCUUUUGUAUAAUGGGUCAGCGACUUAUAUUCUGUAGCAAGGUUAACCGAAUAGGGGAGCCGAAGGGAAACCGAGUCUUAACUGGGCGUUAAGUUGCAGGGUAUAGACCCGAAACCCGGUGAUCUAGCCAUGGGCAGGUUGAAGGUUGGGUAACACUAACUGGAGGACCGAACCGACUAAUGUUGAAAAAUUAGCGGAUGACUUGUGGCUGGGGGUGAAAGGCCAAUCAAACCGGGAGAUAGCUGGUUCUCCCCGAAAGCUAUUUAGGUAGCGCCUCGUGAAUUCAUCUCCGGGGGUAGAGCACUGUUUCGGCAAGGGGGUCAUCCCGACUUACCAACCCGAUGCAAACUGCGAAUACCGGAGAAUGUUAUCACGGGAGACACACGGCGGGUGCUAACGUCCGUCGUGAAGAGGGAAACAACCCAGACCGCCAGCUAAGGUCCCAAAGUCAUGGUUAAGUGGGAAACGAUGUGGGAAGGCCCAGACAGCCAGGAUGUUGGCUUAGAAGCAGCCAUCAUUUAAAGAAAGCGUAAUAGCUCACUGGUCGAGUCGGCCUGCGCGGAAGAUGUAACGGGGCUAAACCAUGCACCGAAGCUGCGGCAGCGACRCUUAUGYGUUGUUGGGUAGGGGAGCGUUCUGUAAGCCUGYGAAGGUGURCUGUGAGGYAUGCUGGAGGUAUCAGAAGUGCGAAUGCUGACAUAAGUAACGAUAAAGCGGGUGAAAAGCCCGCUCGCCGGAAGACCAAGGGUUCCUGUCCAACGUUAAUCGGGGCAGGGUGAGUCGACCCCUAAGGCGAGGCCGAAAGGCGUAGUCGAUGGGAAACAGGUUAAUAUUCCUGUACUUGGUGUUACUGCGAAGGGGGGACGGAGAAGGCUAUGUUGGCCGGGCGACGGUUGUCCCGGUUUAAGCGUGUAGGCUGGUUUUCCAGGCAAAUCCGGAAAAUCAAGGCUGAGGCGUGAUGACGAGGCACUACGGUGCUGAAGCAACAAAUGCCCUGCUUCCAGGAAAAGCCUCUAAGCAUCAGGUAACAUCAAAUCGUACCCCAAACCGACACAGGUGGUCAGGUAGAGAAUACCAAGGCGCUUGAGAGAACUCGGGUGAAGGAACUAGGCAAAAUGGUGCCGUAACUUCGGGAGAAGGCACGCUGAUAUGUAGGUGAAGUCCCUCGCGGAUGGAGCUGAAAUCAGUCGAAGAUACCAGCUGGCUGCAACUGUUUAUUAAAAACACAGCACUGUGCAAACACGAAAGUGGACGUAUACGGUGUGACGCCUGCCCGGUGCCGGAAGGUUAAUUGAUGGGGUYAGCGCAAGCGAAGCUCUUGAUCGAAGCCCCGGUAAACGGCGGCCGUAACUAUAACGGUCCUAAGGUAGCGAAAUUCCUUGUCGGGUAAGUUCCGACCUGCACGAAUGGCGUAAUGAUGGCCAGGCUGUCUCCACCCGAGACUCAGUGAAAUUGAACUCGCUGUGAAGAUGCAGUGUACCCGCGGCAAGACGGAAAGACCCCGUGAACCUUUACUAUAGCUUGACACUGAACAUUGAGCCUUGAUGUGUAGGAUAGGUGGGAGGCUUWGAAGUGUGGACGCCAGUCUGCAUGGAGCCGRCCUUGAAAUACCACCCUUUAAUGUUUGAUGUUCUAACGUKGACCCGURAUCCGGGUUGCGGACAGUGUCUGGUGGGUAGUUUGACUGGGGCGGUCUCCUCCUAAAGAGUAACGGAGGAGCACGAAGGUUGGCUAAUCCUGGUCGGACAUCAGGAGGUUAGUGCAAUGGCAUAAGCCAGCUUGACUGCGAGCGUGACGGCGCGAGCAGGUGCGAAAGCAGGUCAUAGUGAUCCGGUGGUUCUGAAUGGAAGGGCCAUCGCUCAACGGAUAAAAGGUACUCCGGGGAUAACAGGCUGAUACCGCCCAAGAGUUCAUAUCGACGGCGGUGUUUGGCACCUCGAUGUCGGCUCAUCACAUCCUGGGGCUGAAGUAGGUCCCAAGGGUAUGGCUGUUCGCCAUUUAAAGUGGUACGCGAGCUGGGUUUAGAACGUCGUGAGACAGUUCGGUCCCUAUCUGCCGUGGGCGCUGGAGAAYUGAGGGGGGCUGCUCCUAGUACGAGAGGACCGGAGUGGACGCAUCACUGGUGUUCGGGUUGUCAUGCCAAUGGCACUGCCCGGUAGCUAAAUGCGGAAGAGAUAAGUGCUGAAAGCAUCUAAGCACGAAACUUGCCCCGAGAUGAGUUCUCCCUGACYCYUURAGRGUCCUGAAGGAACGUUGAAGACGACGACGUUGAUAGGCCGGRUGUGUAAGCGCAGCGAUGCGUUGAGCUAACCGGUACUAAUGAACCGUGAGGCUUAACCUUACAACGCCGAAGGUGUUU
rnacentral:rRNA from 1 species